UACGUAGGGUGCAAGCGUUGUCCGGAAUUAUUGGGCGUAAAGAGCUCGUAGGCGGUCUGUCGCGUCGGCUGUGAAAUCCCGAGGCUCAACCUCGGGUCUGCAGUCGAUACGGGCGGACUGGAGUUCGGCAGGGGAGACUGGAAUUCCUGGUGUAGCGGUGAAAUGCGCAGAUAUCAGGAGGAACACCGGUGGCGAAGGCGGGUCUCUGGGCCGAUACUGACGCUGAGGAGCGAAAGGCGUGGGGAGCGAACAGG
rnacentral:rRNA from 1 species